GUGCUCACUUCAGCAGCAUAUAUACUGAAAUUGGGAUGAUACAGAGAAAAUUAGCAUGGCCCCUGCACAGGGAUGACCUACAAAUUCAUGAAGCAUUCCAUAUUUGG